UUUAUUGGAGAGUUUGAUCCUGGCUCAGGACGAACGCUGGCGGCGUGCCUAAUACAUGCAAGUCGAGCGGACCUGAUGGAGUGCUUGCACUCCUGAUGGUUAGCGGCGGACGGGUGAGUAACACGUAGGCAACCUGCCCGUAAGACCGGGAUAACUACCGGAAACGGUAGCUAAUACCGGAUAAUCAAGUCUUCCGCAUGGGAGACUUGGGAAAGGCGGAGCAAUCUGUCACUUACGGAUGGGCCUGCGGCGCAUUAGCUAGUUGGUGGGGUAACGGCUCACCAAGGCGACGAUGCGUAGCCGACCUGAGAGGGUGAACGGCCACACUGGGA
rnacentral:rRNA from 1 species